CCCAUGUAUCUUUACAUGGGGCCUUACUCAAGCAACGACGCGAGAGCUCAGCAACGACGAGCUGCGAGCCCACAUAAACACCCUAAGAGACCUAGGGUCAAACAAAAUUCCGCUCACAAUAGAAAUAUUUUUUGGAAUGGUUUUUUCUCAAAGGCAAACAAGAACGUGAAGCGAAGCAAAGAUAAAAUAUUUUCAAAGUUUCAACAAAUAGGCAAUGAAAUAAACUUCCAAAGAAAAAGCAAAACGAACGACGAAAUAUUUUUGUUGUUUUCUCAAAGAACUUCAAAAGAACAAAAGGAUAAAGAAAUAUUUUAGGGUUUAUUUGAAAAGCAAACAACAAAUAAAAGAAAAAUAGGAAGAAAAAUAAACCAAAAAGAACACUUCAAACAAUUGACACUCAAUAAGACGCAAACGAGAAAUCUUUUGGAGUUUUUGGGUUUUGCAACUUAAACACAGAGACGAAAUAAACGACAAAAAGAAAACAGCAAAGAAAAGCCAAAAAGAACAACCAAAAGAAAACAAAAGAACACCGAAAGAGAAAUAUUUUUUGGAAUUUUGGAAACAUAAAAGGCCAAAAAUAACUUAAAGAAACACAACAGAAAUAUUUUGGAACUUUUGUUUUCUCAAAGAAUGUAAACAAGAGCGUAAAGAGAAGCAAAGAUAAAAUAUUUUCAAAGUUUCAACAAAGAGGCAAUCAAAUAAACUUUCAAAGAAAAAGCAAAACGAACGAGAAAAUAUAUUUUUUGUUUUCUCAAAGAACUUCGAAAGAACAAAAGGACAAAGAAAUCUUUUGGGGUUACUAUUAAAAGCAAACAACAAACAUCCAAAAGAAAAAUAGAAAAAAAACAAAAGAACACCUCAAAUAGUUAACACUCAAUAAGAGCAAAAGAGAAAUCUUUUUGGAAUUUUUGGGUUUUGCAACUUAAACACAAAAAGCAAACAACAAACAUCCAAAAGAAAAAUAGAAAAAAAACAAAAGAACACCUCAAAUAGUUAACACUCAAUAAGAGCAAAAGAGAAAUCUUUUUGGAAUUUUUGGGUUUUGCAACUUAAACACAAAGAGAAAAGAAACGAUGAAAAGAAAACAGCAAAGAAAAGACAAAAAGAACAACCAAAAGAAAACAAGGAAAAUAAACGAACAACGAAAGAGAAAUGUUUUUGGAUUUUCGAAAAGAUAAAAGGCAAAGAACUUAAAGAAACACAACAAUAAUAUUUUUGGAUUUUUUUUCUCGAAGAAGGCAAACAAGAAUGUAAAGACAAGCAAAGAUAAAAUAUUUUCAAAGUUUAAACAAAGAGGCAAUAAAAUACACUUCCAAAGAAAAAGCAAAACGAACGAGGAAAUAUCUUUGUUGUUUUCUCAAAGAACAUCAAAAGAACAAAAGCACAAUGAAAUCUUUUGGGGUUUCUAGAAAACAACAAAAAAACAUACAAAAGAAAAAAUAGGAAGAAAUAGAACAAAAAGAACACUUUGAACACUCGAGACUCAAUAAGAUGCAAACAAGAAAUCUUUUUGGAAUUUUUGGGUUUUGCAACUUAAGCACAAAGACGAAAGGAACAACAAAAAGAAACAGCGAGAAAAGCCAAUAAGAACAAUCAAAAGCAAACGAAGGAAAACAAAAGAAAAGUGAAAGAGAAAUAUUUUUGGAUUUUUUGAAAAUAUAAAAGGCAAAGAACUGAGAGAAACACCACCGAAGUAUUUUUGGAUUUUUUGGUUUUCUCGAAGGCAAACAAUAACGCAAAGAUACAAGAUUUCCAAAGUUUCAACAA
rnacentral:lncRNA from 1 species